UAAACAUUGAACAAAUUGUCAAAUGUUUGAUAGAAAGUUUGAUCAAAAUAUUGAUCAAAAAUUUCAUCAAGGGACCCCUCCAAAUUGUGAUGAGAAGAAGAAGCCAUGAGAGGUUGGUUUUAGAAUCUUGUUUACAAUAUGGAUUUUUGGUAAUUUUUUGAUUAAAGAUAGUGAGAAUGGAGAGAAGAAUGAGAGAAGAUGUGAGAUUAAAGAUAGUGAGAAUGUGAGAUUGAAGAUAAAGAGAAUGGCUUGUGAACAAAAGAAAGUGAGAUUGCAAUGGCUUGUGAUCAUAAUGUUAUGGAUAUAUAAGAACAUCAACACUCGCUCACUAUAAUGUCAUUUACAAGACUCCAAAGACCCGUGAACACUAUACAAAGACAACAACAAUAUACAAAACUCCAAAGCAAACACAAGACUCCAAAGCCAACACAAUGAAAUGUGAUUACAAGACUCCAAAGCCAACACAUAACCUCUGUCUUUUAGACCCGUGACCUCUGUCUUUUGCUUUAGACCGUGACCAGACAUUGUCUCACAUUGUCUCACAACCAAAAACCCGUGAACCUGCAAGAACAAAAUGAAGACACGAUCAAACACAUUGAAACUUAAGGAAUUGGAACAAGAUCAAACACAUUGAAACUUAAAGA
rnacentral:lncRNA from 1 species